rnacentral:rRNA from 1 species
GAGUUUGAUCGUGGCUCAGGACGAACGCUGGCGGCGUGCCUAAUACAUGCAAGUCGAGCGAACGGAUAAAGAGCUUGCUCUUUUGAAGUUAGUGGCGGACGGGUGAGUAACAUGUGGGUAACCUGCCUCACAGCUGGGGAUAACAUCGAGAAAUCGAUGCUAAUACCGAAUGUGCUGAACAUCAUAAGAUGUUCAAGUGAAAGACGGUUUCGGCUGUCACUGUGAGAUGGACCCGCGCUGGAUUAGCUAGUUGGAAGGUAAUGGCUUACCAAGGCGACGAUCCAUAGCCGACCUGAGAGGGUGAUCGGCCACACUUGGGACUGAGACACGGCCCAAACUCCUACGGGA